rnacentral:rRNA from 1 species
AUACGGAGGAUGCAAGCGUUAUCCGGAUUUAUUGGGUUUAAAGGGUGCGUAGGCUGUUCGGAAAGUCAGGGGUGAAAGCCCGGCGCCUAACGCCGGAACUGCCUUUGAUACUGCCGAGCUGGAAUACGGAUGCCGUGGGAGGAAUGAGUAGUGUAGCGGUGAAAUGCAUAGAUAUUACUCAGAACACCGAUUGCGAAGGCAUCUCACGAAUCCGUCAUUGACGCUGAGGCACGAAAGCGUGGGGAUCAAACAGGAUUAGAUACCCUGGUAGUCCACGCAGUAAACGAUGAUGACUAACCGUCGGCGAUACACAGUCGGUGGCCAAGCGAAAGCGAUAAGUCAUCCACCUGGGGAGUACGUUCGCAAGAAUGAAACUCAAAUGAAUUGGCGGGG